rnacentral:tRNA from 1 species
GCCACGAUCGCAUAACUCGGUAUUGCGUCAGCCUUGAGAGCUGAUUCCGAAAGGAAUUCCCGGUUCAAAUCCGGGUCGUGGCG